CUAGCUCUUCUGUGUUCACCAAUGCAGCACCAGGGUAAAAUCCUGUUUUUGCCAACGGAUGGACAGAAGACGCGCUCCUCUGCUGACAUGAAGGACGAUCCUCACUCCAUUGUGGCCCAGGAGCGUUCUACCGUGGGUCAGAUGAAGUGAAGGUGAGUCACUGCCUGGAGCAGCUGCUGCUGGAGUUGAAUCUGUUCAGGAAUGAGAGGAGUCGAAGGUUUGAUUUGUGACUGACAGGAAUAAAGGUUCUGGGAUUACUCUGAGCUGCUGGCCUUUAGUAUGGAUCAGUGUUAGCUGAACACGUAACGGAGGCUCAGGGUCUGACUGCAGAGUUGUGGGGAGGAGCCGUAGAAAAGGCCGGUGCCCGCAGGAGGAGACAGGAGUUCAGGAAUGCUUGUAGGAGCUUCGGAGGACAGCAGGAGAGCCUAGAUUCCUCCUCGCAACCACCACGCCUUGUCCUCUCUGCUGGCAGCGGGGCCUUCCACUCCUCCCAGGGUUAGGGCCUGGCCCACAUGUUCAAACUGAGAUGAAAGAGUCCUGGUAGGAAGGUAGGCCAGUGCCAAUACCAACCUCCUGCCAAGUGGGCUCUGCGUGGUUCUCUGCUCCAGAUGUUUCUGAAGCUC